rnacentral:rRNA from 1 species
GGCAAACGGGUGAGUAACACGUGGGUGACCUGCCUUCGAGUGGGGGAUAACGUCCCGAAAGGGACGCUAAUACCGCAUGACAUCCUGCCUUUGAACAGGUGGAGAUCAAAGCUGGGGAUCGCAAGACCUAGCGCUUGAAGAGGGGCCCGUCGCCGAUUAGCUAGUUGGUGAGGUAACGGUCACCAAGGCGACGAUCGGUACGCCGGCUCUGAUGGAGGGCGGACGGCCACUUUGGGCACUGAACGCCCCUGCUACCANCCCUCAUACGGGAGGCGCAGUGGGGAAUUGUUCGCAAUGGGCGCAAGCCUGACGACGCAUGCCGCGUGGAGGACGAAGAUCUUCGGGUCGUAACUCCUGUCGAGCGGGAACGCACCGCUUCCCGGGUGAUAAUCCGGGGAAUUGACGGUACCGCUAAAGGAAGCCCCGGUUAACUCCGUGCCAGCCGCC